CCUGCUGCAAAAUGGUCCAAAACACCAACAGAUCUACCCGGGGCUCCAAUAUGGCUUCCUAUAGCUAGUUUAGGGCCCAUUCGGUUAGCCUGAAAUCCAUCCAGGAAUCGUUCCAGCUGAUCAAAGCUGGCUAGGAAUCGUUCCAGGCAACGGUUCCCUAGGAACCGAACGGCCCUUAGGGCCCAUUUGUUUCGGUCGGAAUGACCUGGAAUGCGUCCCAAUUCGGACGGAUUGGAAUGGCUUGGAAUGGAGUCAGACCUCAAUAAAAAUUGUUGUUCGGUUGAUCUCGUCCCGAACCAAAUCUGGGCCGGCUCGGUUUUACUCCUUCAAUCCCCACCUCCAACCCUCUGAAACGAAUCCUCACGCGAAACGACGGGCGGCAGUGCGAGCUAGCGACGCGUGAGGCGACGAGGCGGCGGCGCGAGGUGGCGGCGUGGCGGCGCAGCACAGCCCGGACGGCAACCCUCUCCGCCAUCUUCUCACCGUUUCUGGGAUGUGCAACUUUUUGGCCAGGAGAUUUCACUUGGCUGCUGAGGAUGCUAUGCUGUUGAGGACAUGUGCAGUCCUAAUGAAGUGACAUGUGCGCACAGUUCUAUUUGGAAUGAGCUAAAGAAGUUAGCAGACUGCAUACCUUUAUGCUUCCAUUUUGUUAGCGUGGAUCUGUGGUGACUCAGUUGUCAUUGUGUAGCUAAUUUCGAUUUUUUUCUUAUUUUAUAAAAAGGUGCUUGCUCCAUAUCCAAAUGUCAGACACCGGCCUACUGCUAGCUCACUGGACAAAUUUGAUGUAUUGUUUUGGUGAAAUGGCUCUGUUGAAUACAAAUGAUCAAGAACAAA